rnacentral:lncRNA from 1 species
GAACUAAUAGAAAAGCACAAGUUGUAUAAGGUUAUCUAAAAUUUUGUUCAAAGUUUGAGAAAGGUUCUUGUAUUUUGUUUAUAUCUUUUCGAAAUUAUUUUUCAUUAUUUGUUUAUGAGAAACUUAUCAAGAAACCUGCGAUAGUGAUGCAUUCUCAUGAUACAUAAUGAAAAAAUAUAUAUAUCGUUCUUUUUAACCAGAAAAUAUAUGGUUUGUGAGUUUAUUUGUUUAUCAAAUAAAUUCCAUUUUGUAUAAUAAUGUUGAAAUAAGAAAAGUAUUUUCAUUCUAUUCCUAUGUAGAUUCAUAUUAUUUUUUUUUGGUUUGGUAUAGGCGUAUAUCAAUAUCACAUGUAACACGUAAACUUUUAUGCGGUGUUGGAAAACGAGAAAGCAAGUUAUGGUCGGUCUAUUCUUUACACAUGCAGACAUAGAUAUUCUUUGUUUGUUUCCGCAGCAUACUCACCCUCCAGUCGAACAUCCAACAAAUUCUUAACAUAUCUACUCA